rnacentral:rRNA from 1 species
UGAUGGGUGUGCGGCUGAUUAGGUAGUUGGCGGGGUAACGGCCCACCCAAGCCUUCGAUCAGUAGCUGAUGUGAGAGCAUGAUCAGCCACACGGGCACUGAGACACGGGCCCGACUCCUACGGGAGGCAGCAGUAAGGAAUAUUGGACAAUGGGCGCAAGCCUGAUCCAGCCAUGCCGCGUGAAGGAUUAAGGUCCUCUGGAUUGUAAACUUCUUUUAUAAGGGACGAAAAAAGGGAAUUCUUUCUCACUUGACGGUACCUUAUGAAUAAGCACCGGCUAACUCCGUGCCAGCAGCCGCGGUAAUACGGAGGGUGCAAGCGUUAUCCGGAUUCACUGGGUUUAAAGGGUGCGUAGGCGGGUAUUUAAGUCAGUGGUGAAAUCCUAGAGCUUAACUCUAGAACUGCCAUUGAUACUAUUUAUCUUGAAUAUUGUGGAGGUAAGCGGAAUAUGUCAUGUAGCGGUGAAAUGCUUAGAUAUGACAUAGAACACCUAUUGCGAAGGCAGCUUACUACGCAUAUA